UCAUGCGUUUCAAGAUGGGCUCUCAACGUUUGCAGGAAAAUCUAGGGCAGGCAGGCACUAUCCUUCUCCAUAGGCCACCUUUCGACGGGAGCUAGCUAGCUAGCAAGGCUAUGCAUCAAAUGCAUCGACUCCAUGGAUAGUUGGCCGGCAGCUCCACUCUGCCAUGGAAAUGGAAUUUGCCUUUUGCCAGAUGCCAGACAUGUGGGCCCAGUCAUGCACACGUGGAGCAGACGUGUCACCUCUCAGGAUCAUUCCCUCCUGCUUAUAGUAAUACUCAAAAUCAGCCACAUAGUCAUAGUAAUAGUCAUAAUGGUCACCGGAUAUACACAACCGUUAAAAUUGGGUAACCCACUGAGUGCAAAAGUGAACCGAAGAACUUAUCUCCACCAAUUAACUUGCACCCAUUCCAGAAUCCAUCAUCCAUCAUCCAAGGAGAAAAGAUAUUCACCUUCCACCAAGCCUUCUUUUACAUGAAUCUGCCCUUACCAUUACUUGCUUGUGUUGAUGGCAGUCUAUUCGACUUAGCUGGAUUCGAAACAUGGGAUAUUUAUAUUUUACACCGUAGAUUCGAACUAAAAAAGGUGAUCAACUAACUAGUAAAAAUUCCUCCAAUGUGGGAUAAAGGAAAAUGGAUUUUCACUUUUAUUAGUUAUUUGCAAAAAAAAGUAUGAUCCUGACUGAAAAAGCGAUUUUUUAAGUUUCCUUGUUAACUAGGAACAUGACCAAUAGUUUCCAGUUAGCUAGGUUAUUUGUGGUAACUGGAUUGUUUCAUCUAAAACUAAUACUCCCUCCGUCCGGAAAUAAUUGUCAUCAAAAUGCUAAAAGAUGGUGUAUCUAGACGUAUUUUAGUUUUAGAUACAUCAUUUUUUAUCCAUUUUGAUGACAAGUAUUUUCGGACGGAGGGAGUACUUUGUAGAGUGCUCGAAUCAAGUUGUGUUGAUUUUUAUACCCACUAUUUCCUUGUUUGUAAGGUUAAUCCAUAGCACCUCAUAAGUAGUCCUCCACCGAGAUAUGUCACUUCUUUUAUACUCUUUAUGUUGCAAGGAAUGUUUCGAAGGCCUUUACAAGAUAUUUUAGCCAUACUACCUCACGUCCAAUACUUAGGAAGCUAACUUCAGAUCUUUCUCAAGUACAAUUGCUUUGUACCGUGUGUUGGUUGUGUACCAUUUCGCCCUAUUUCGGUAGUUUCAAAGCUCGCACUUGGUUAAUUUUGGCCUAAUUUGCAGAAAGAAGUAUCAUGCUCAAUCCUUCAUUGUUAUGCCAAAUAGUUCCGAGUGGUGGUAAAUGACCCAUUUCUUCAACAAUGCACAAGGGCGGUGUGCGGUCAUUCGUCGCACCGACGACAACAUAAAGAUGAUGGAUGCAAGCUUCUCUUCUCUGGGAAACACACGGAAGAUAGAUUCAAGUUUCAAAGAACGAAAAGGAUGAUCCUGUCACAUUUCUCUCUAUUUCGCCUCAUGCACCUUGCUCUUAAGGCUCCUAAGCUUUUUGGACAUUGACGGUAUUUUGUCCUUUUUAUGUAUGCUUUGGUAUUCUAGCUCGCUUUGGUAGUUGAAGGCACUGAAUCCUGUUGUCCUAUGGGAGAAUAUCAGGUCCCGCGCGACCUCUGCAAUCGAUCUAAGAUUCGAUUAUCAACAUCAAUGUU